rnacentral:piRNA from 1 species
UGCCACUCUGAGUGGUGUACUGAUGUGGU